GUCAUUGCUGCUAAGCUAUCAACUUGUUUGUUCUGUUCUCAGUAGAUAUGGAUCACCUUUGAAAUACUCAGCCUCCGGAAGAGGCACCUGCAAUUAUCCAAAAUUGAAGAGUUGUGCAAGUUAGUGGUAGAAAGUGACUUAACUCUUUCCUGAGCAUCAAUAUUAACUUGCAGGGGCUGUAAAUUAUGCAGAAAAGUUAUAGUCAAUCCAUGUAAGGGAGCAAGUAAUUCAGCUUAGAAAUCAUUUUUGUAAUUGAAAUCAAAGAAGUAAAUCCUAAAAUCUAUCCUCCGCUCCUAUCCCUAAAUACUCCCGUUCCUACAAAAUUCAUGUUAUUGUCCACCCUUGCACCUUUAUUGAGCAUGUAAAUAGUUUCCUGGGGUGGUUCCUAUGUCACAGACAGGAAUUUUAGUGUGUCUUUGCUUGGUUGUACCUGCAAGCAUCCAAUAUUCACAUGGUAGAUAUUUAACAGCACAAUAAUUAAUGAUUAGUGGUUUUUGUUCAAAAAUGAAUUGGUUACUUUGUGUCCAAAUGAACCAUAGAUAGAAUGGUAGGAAAACUCUGUAGGGAACAUAUUCAAGGAACUUCUUAGGGCAGAGAUUGAUAAGUUUAUGCAGCCAUUGAGAUAGCUCAGGAUUAAUGGUUUCAGCAUUAGUAGUGUCACUUUGAAGCAGUUCAAAAAAAGAUGACUAAUGGUUUCAGCAUUAGUAGUGUCACAUUUUGCAAUAGAGUGAUGGAAUACAUGUCAUAUGAUGUAAAAAAUUGAGAGUAGGCAGCAGGUAACGAAGUAAAGUUUCACUUGAAAUGACAUAAGACGAGGAUUUUCAUCUCACUUGGUGAUACAUAACCAUUGUACCUAGUUCUGAGUUCAACUUACAUACAAUUUACCACUCUACUAAGAAACAAGAUAAAAGUUUAUAUUAUCAACAAAAGAUUUUGUGAAAUGUUCUACCCUCUCUAUAAAAUUCUCUCUCUAAAAUCUGAACUCUCAUCGGUACUAUAACGGCAACUUACUGCUGCUAUGGCAGCUGAGCCACUGGUAACUCAUCUCCGACCACCGGACAAAAUCCUCGAGGGACACACAGUACAAACAAUAUCAAUCCAACAACAAACUCCCUCAAGUCCAGUUUACGCCAUUGAGAGAUCGGGUAUCAACAAUGAGAGUAGGAGGUCGAUUUCGAAUGAACAAUGGUGUAAAAUUCAAGAGAUUAUUACGUAGGUUAAUGCUGAUUCCAUUCGGAUUGUUUUAACAAAUGGAGAAAAACCAAACUUAAAUGUAAUCAAAGAUUCAAAUCUCACAAAUGGGGGAAACUCCAAUUCCAGGAAUGGUGACCUGGAGAAAACAACAAAUAAUUAUUUGGGGAGGAGUAAUCCAAAUCAAAGUGACAAGGAGAACUCUGAUCCGAAACAAAAUGUUAGGUUACGUAGAGGGGAUGAUGAAGUAAUAAUGUGCAUAAAUACUUCCCAACUGGUGAAUGUGGCUGACAACGAUGAUAAUCAAAACUAUGAGGAAACUCCGGAGCACGGAAAUCAGAGUCAAGCUCAACACCAAACCAAACUUAUAGGGACAAUCAGUGUCUCAGAUUCAAAGAUUGAGGAAGAAAAUAACUUGAAGGCUUCAUCAGAGGAUCACACUGGUAAGCUUACUAAUGCUCAAUCUUCUAACAAUAUGUCUACUAAGGAUAAGGAUAUUGCUGGUCCUAGUAAAGCCGUGCAUAACCAUGGGAGUGAACAUGGUAGGAAGGAAGAUAAGGGAAAAGACAAGGUCGUAGAGAAAACCAAUCAUAAACCUUCUGUCCCUAACAACAACACCCUCCAAGUAUCCAACAACUUCAAGCCUUUCAAGCCUAACAAUAACCCGUCAAAAAAGGUAGACACAAAAAGAACUAAUGACAAUCAUCAGCCAGCACACAAAGGUCCCAUACAACCUAAACAAAAAGCUACUGUGAAUCCUGCACCACCUCAUCCUAAUAUCCCUCAUUCCAUGACUACCAAACUUUUUUUUAUGACAAGGGAAACCCGCAGCCGCUACCCUUUGGGUGCGCACAGGGUAAAACCCCCACUCCUAUGCAAUAGAUCGCAAACCACAUAGGAGAGGUAACCCGCACUAGGCAAGCCCGGUGCGACAAGCUCGACCCAAAAGGCAAACCCCUUGCUUUCGCUGGCAAGGGGUUUCGAACUUGAGACCUCCAACAUGGAAGCCCCAAGUCCAAACCACUGGGCCACCCCGAAGGGUUCGAUGACUACCAAACUUAGAGCCCAGGAUGCCCAAAAAAUCAUUCCCAUAACAAUCAACCCCCCCCCCCUCAUAAUUACUACCAAACAAGGAGACCCUGCAGUUGUGUUUAAAAGAGAGGACUUUAUGGUUAAGUUGGCGGAAAGAUGCAAAUAUGCGAUAAGUUCAUCAAUACCAUGCCUAAGAUGGAAACCAUCAAGGAACAAUUUAUUCUGCAAACUGAAUUGAAAGGAGGAGUGAAGUUAACUCAUUACAAUCCUAAACAUCUAUAUAUUAAUCUUAACAAUGAGUAUGAUCAUGCUACUGUGUUAUCCAAGGCUAAAAUGUAUGUUGAAAGUCAGCUGAUGAGAUUUUUAGUAUGGACUCCUACCUUCAAACCUGAAGAAGAAACUCAUUUGGCACCUGUUUGGGUGAUCCUGGGUGAAGUUCCUUGGCACUGCUACUGCGCAGAGGUCCUUAAUCCUCUUCUAUCAACUAUAGGUAAGGCACUUUUUCUAGACUUGGCUACUCAUAAAAGACUAGAGGUAGUGUCGCCAAAGUUAAAGUUCAAGUGGAUCUUACAAAGGAAAGACCUCAACAUGUUUGAAUAGGAUAUGAUGAAGAUGAGAAUGGUGAAAGAAAAUGGUUAUCCAUUCAAUAUGAGGGGGUACAUGACUACUGUAAUUAUUGCAAACAUCAUGGACGUGAUUAUAAUGCUUGUGAGGUCAAAGGAAGGGAUGAAGAGGCUAAAAGAGUAAAAGAACAAGAAGAAAAGAUGAACAACAAAAACAGUGAGGAUGAUCAGGCUAACAAGAGCAUCAAGGAACAACCCCUUGAACAGAGAGAACACAACAAGAAGAUGGAUGAAGAGACUCGAACUCAAGAGCAAUGGCAAACUCAAAAAAGGAAAGGAUGGAAAAACAACCAACAAACUCAACAAACACAGAAGACACAACAAGCUCAACAAUACAACAGAGAUUAAGACAACAAGAAGAAGGUUUAUAGAGCUAGAUCACCUCAAAGUCCAAAAUUUGCUAAUCAGCAUAUUCCACAACACCAACAGGCAGGUAUGACUACUGAACUCAGAGUUCAAAAUCCAAAUUGUAAUGCUGACUCUGGAGUCCAGAAUCAAUAAAUCCUCCCCCCCCCCCCACAUAAUUCUAUGAACCAAACAGGUACAAAAAAGAAUGACAACACAAAGGAUAAUACUGAGAGUUUUCCAGGAAAAGCUGAUGAUGGACAAAACCAACAAAAUGCAGGUAUCGACUCAAUGCUCCACCAACCCCACCCCAAUUACCUAUAUAUCUGACUUGUCUGAUAAAGAAGUUAUGGUAGGUAUGGAUGGAGGGAUUCAGGAGGAAACUACUAAUCGGCAGGAAGGGGUGUCCAAAGGGAGGGAAUUGUCUCAUGUUAUGCAUGAGAAUUUGAUUGACCCUAAGACUGACCCUAGAGCUCCUGCUACCUCUAAGAAUGCAGAUAUCCAGUCUCAAUUACAAGAACAAACUGCUAAUAUCAUUGGUAUUGAAAAGGCUACUAAAGAUGAUAUGCUUGAUACUAAAAAAAGAGAUGAAGAUAUGGUACAUAUUGAUGAUAUUGAAGGUACACCUUCUGAAGAUCCCACUAUAUCUACCAGUGUGAAUGUCCCUAAGUAGUCAAGUAUGCAACAAAGAUCAACCUACCAACCAAAUCAAAAUGAUGGUUCAAAACAGUAGAGACAGGGAGAAAGUCCCCAAAUUCUCAACAAUAAAUCUACCCUGGCUCUCAGUAAGAAAAAGAGAGAUGCUAUAAAGAUGAAACAAGCAAUGGAAGGAAAAAGAAAUGCUGAAAUGCAUCAAUGUGGACUAUGAGUUCGUAAAGGAGCAAGUAGGUAGCCAUGCAGUUCCCCUCUAGACCAAAGAUAAUCCCUGUGGAUUGUGAUAGUAAUACAACUGAGGACAAUAAUGAUGAUUAUAAGGUGGUCAAUUAUGAUGAAGAGUAUGAUCCUGAUCAAUUGGAAGAACAGGAAGAUGAUGAUGAAACUAGUGCUCAUCUACUGAAACCCUUUGGAUCCACCAUGAAUUCUGACUGUCAGGAUAAAAUUCAACAAGUAACUCAGAAGGCAGGUUUAUCACCUAGAGGUCAAAAGGAGAAGAAAAAGAAAAAAAUAUAAAAUAUUAUCAGCAAUUCUGCUAAUACAAUUACUGCCAAGAGUAACAUCAACACCAGGUCCAAAACCCAAAAACUUUGAUGAUUAGUACAAUUAGCUGGAAUGCUAGGAGUAUUAGCACUCAAGGAGCUUUGGAUAGACUCCAAAAACUCAAGGAUUACUACAAUCUCUCUAUGAUUGCAAUUCUUGAACCCAAAACCAACAAACAUCAGCUCAACUAUUAUAAAAAUCAUCUUAGGAUGGAUAAUGCUACUUCCUAUUCCAACAGUAAGAUCUGGUUAUUUUGGAACCAAGAUGUUGAUUGUACAAUUUUGGAUCAAGAUGAACAACAGGUUACUUGUGAAGCUAAGCAUGUAGCUUGGCAGACUUCUUACCGCCUCACUUUGUCUAUGCUAAAUGUAAAAAUCAUAUGAGAAGAGACCUAUGGGACAAGAUGCUUCAAUUUUCUAGAUUGGACAAACCUUGGUGUACUAUAGGAGAUUUCAAUGUGAUCACUGAUAUUGAUGAGAAGAUGGGAGGACUACCUUACAACAUGGAUAAAAGUUUUGAAUUCAUCAGUGUUAUUGAAGCAUGUGGACUAACUUACUUGGGAUUCCAUGGACAGAAAUUCGCUUGGUGUAAUCACAGAGAUGAUGAAGAUAGAAUUUGGAAGAGAUUGGACAGAGCUAUGGUCAAUGAUAAAUGUGUUGGAAAUAGAUACACUCAUUGAUGGGUUGACUAGUAACUUGCUUCAUUCAUGAAGUAAGUUACAACUCCACUAAAUAACUCCAUAUAGUAAAAGAAGAAGAGUUAUGUAUUCUUGAAUGGAGUGGGAGUUAUAGGAUAAGGGGUGAUGUAACUCUUGAAUGAAUAAGAGUUACAAGUCCUAACCCUGUCCUAUAAAAGGGAGGACUUGGGGUCAUCCAAGAACAACACAAACAACACAAGAAAAGAGUUCCUUAGAUAAAGAGUGUAGUUGUUGUGAAAAACAAUACAAGACUCCAUAGUGAUCUUGUAAGAAACCGCUAAGGCAAUUGGUGGUGAUAGCACUUGAUCCUAUAACAAGAAGGUAUGUAUAAUUCCGCACAAAUCUCCGAGUUUAAAUCCUUCAUUGGUAUCAGAGAAAGGUUUGUUAGAUGUGAUUAUAUUUUCACCAUUGCAUCAUAAAAAUUUAGUAAUAAGCAGAUUUUCGAAUCUAUUACAUUUCGAAAAAGUUUUUCAUUUUUUUAUAAACGUACUGACUUUCGGCAAAGUUAUCUCCUACAGUGGACUGGCAAACUGAACAAGCCAUAUAUUAAUGGAAAGAUAUUUUUGAUAGCUUUCCAUCGAUAUAUUAUUUGUAAAAUUUCGAUAUCGGAUGAAGGAGAUAUGGGUGUUGAAAGUUGGCUGCCAAAGAAAAUAAAAAAUGGACUGCUGGAAAUUUCAGCAAGACUGCCCAACUUUCAAGCUCAUUUUCUGCCCCUUCAUGUUUUCUAAUGUGUGCAAGACAUAUCACUGGAAAGAUACUUUCAAAACCUUUCCAACGAUAUAUAAUUUGUCAUUUUUUGACAUCGAAUAAAUGAAACAUGAGUGCUGAAAGUUCACUGUUUGAAAACAUAAUUUGGAAAUUUUUUUAAUUCUAAAAGUUUUCUAGGAAAAUUUCAAUUAAAAUAAAUAAAUAAAUAAUCCAUGAUUAUGGUUUAUGUCAUUUGUUUGAGACAUGUAUAUUGAACAAUUUAUAAAUUUAUAUAUAUAUUGAGUGGGAGUUCUUAUUGAUAGACAAUUUUUCUUAUUUAGAACUAUCAUAAUUUAUUAGCGCACAAUUGAUUUAAAAAUAAUAUUGGUAUGCUUAAGGUUACAUGUGAUGAAAGUAAGACAAACGUAGACUUUUGAACAUGGGCUUCUAGCUGGACAAUAUUAAUUUAGAUGCAAUUUUGCAGCAAAUAAAAAGAAAUUGUGUUUGGUGCUUAUUUGUGCUAUGUCUUCUAUGUGCGUACAUAAGUUUAUAAAAUGGCUUCAAAGACUAUUAUUGCUGAAUUGAAUAAGGGUGAAAAAUUAAAUGGUGAUAAUUAUGAUAUUUGGCACCGUAAGAUUCAAUACAUUCUUGAAGAGCAAGAGGUUUUGGAGACCCUAAACCAUGUGAUGGUUGAGCCGGCGGGUGAAGACACCCAACAACAUGAGAGAAAUCUUGAGACUUUUCAAGUCUGGAAGAAGAAAAAUAGUAUUGCUCGCAUAACGUUGCUGAGUAGUAUGGUUGAUGAUCUUAUGUGUGAGUUCGAAUCUUAUCCAACGGCUCAAGCCAUGUGGAUAGCACUGAAAGAUAAGUUUGGUGGCACUUCUGCUACAAAACUUAGGAGGUUGACCAUUAAGUUUGACACCUAUAGACUGCGCCCUAAUUCAUCGAUAAGGCAGCAUUUAAGAGAGAUGUCAAAUAUGAUACGAGAACUAAAAUCAGUUGGUCAUAAUCUUUCUGAUGAACAACAAGUGCAAGCUGUUAUAAGAUCUCUUCCUGCUAGUUGGGAAUAUAUGAAAAUUCAUAUGACCCACAAUGAAAGCAUCAAGUCUUUUGAAGACAUUGAGCACCAUCUUGUUCUUGAAGAUGAGUGUCGUGACGCUUCUAAAGCAACUGAUCAAGCUUUUCUAGCUGAAUCUCCUGGGACUUCUAAUCCUAAGCAAAAUAACAAGAACAAGAAAGCAUGGAAGAAAAAGGGGUCUGAUAAGUCAAAUCAGAAGGAUAAAUCUCAAUUUAAGAAGAGAGGAAAACGUGGUGCUAAGAAGAUUGAUAUGGCCAAAGUGGAGUGUUAUUCUUGUCACAAGAUGGGUCAUUUUGCGCGGGAUUGCCCAGAGCAAAAUAAGGUAACAUCAUGCACUAAAACUCCACAUUUUGCUUAUGUCUCUAGUACUGCAUUAAUGGCAGAUACUAAUACUUUGUGACUGUUGACUCAGGAGCCACAUACCACAUAGCUAGAGACAGAGGAUCAUUUCUUGAAUACCGCCGACUGCCUUCCGGGAGCAGAUGGCAUUAUGUCGGAAACAAUGCAUCAAUAGAAGUGAAAGGGAUCGGAACAUUCAAACUAGAGUUGCAAGGUGGACGAAUCCUUCUCCUACAUGAUGUCUUAUAUGUUCCAGACAUUCGGCGGAAUUUAGUUUCAGUUGUUUCUCUUCUUAAAUUAAAUUUCAGUGUGAAUUUUCACAAUAAUUCUGUUGACAUUAUUUAUGGCACUGAAUAUUAUGGUUCUGGUUACCUUUUUGAUGGUUUUAUUGUGUUGGACACAAUUUGUGGUUUUAAUUAUAUAUCUAAUAAUCAUGGUUGUUUUGCUUUAACAACAACUCCAAUUUUAGAUAUAAAUAUUUGGCAAGCUAGACUUGGAUAUAUAGGCCUUGAAAGAAUGAAUAGAUUGGCAAAAGAAGGAUUAUUGGGGUCCUUAACUAAAAUUGAAAUGUCAAUAUGUGAAUAUUGUCUAGCAGGAAAAACGACUAGAAAACCAUUUGGAAAGGGAACUAGAGCUGAGUUUCCAUUGCAACUUAUCCAUUCAGAUAUAUGUGGUCCUAUGAGUGUGAGGGCGAGGCAUGGAGCCUCAUAUUUCAUCACAUUUAUAGAUGAUUAUACUCGUCAUGGUCAUGUUUAUUUGAUCUCCCAUAAGUCAGAAGCAUUGGAAUGCUUUAGACAAUUUAUGAAUUUGGUGGAGAGUCAAUUUAACUUAAGAAUAAAAGCUUUAAGAACUGAUUGUGGGCGUGAGAAUCUAUCAGAUCAAUUUAAGGAUCUAUGUGAUGAAAAAGGAAUUGUAAGACAAUUAACAAUUCCAUACACUCCUAAACAAAAUGGAGUAGUUGAGCGAAGAAAUAGAACUUUGCUUGAAAUGGUUAGGUCUAUGAUGGCGCAGGCUAACUUGCCAAUUUCCUUUUGGGGAGACGCAUUGAUGUCAGCAACUUUUGUGCUUAACUGUGUGCCCUCUAAGUCUAUUGCUUCCACACCCUAUGAAUUAUGGACGGGUAGAAAACCUGACUUAAAUAUAUUGCGACCCUGGGGUCUGCCGCAUACGUGCAUGAUUCUUCCCAUAAAUAUGAGAAGUUAGGCCCUAGGGGCAAGAAAUGCAUCUUCAUUGGCUAUUCAAAGCAAUCAAAGGGUUAUAUCUUCAUAGGAGAAAAUGAAGAUGGAAGUAUAACAGAGCUUGAGUCACGAGAUGCCACAUUUUUAGAGAUUGAAUUUCCUAGUAAAGGUGAUAUUGAUAGAACUUUGUCAUUUUAUGAAGUUGUGGAUCAUCAAGAAAAUCUUCAAGAACAAAGAAGUGAGGAACAAGAAAUUGUACUUUCUCUUGUUGAUCCAAGUGGGAGAAUUACUCAUUUAGAGCAUAUUCCACAAGAGACACAUGUGCGGAAGAGUACACGAGGAACUAUACACCGACGUCAAUUUCAUAUCGAAGGGAAAGCAUUAAUAGUUACUCCGCAAGAUGAUGAAGAGCCUAAUUCAGUUCAAGAGACUUUUUCAGGCCCUACUAAGGAUAAGUGGAUAGAAGCAAUGAAAGAGGAAAUGGAGUCCAUGAGGAAAAAUCAUGUUUGGGAUUUGUUUGAUCUUUCGCCAAGUCGAAAGACAAUUGGGAAUAAAUGGGUUCUCAAAAUUAAAAGAAACGCGGAUGGUGUGAUUGAACGCUACAAAGCUCGUUUGGUGGCUAAGGGGUACACACAAUAAGAGGGCAUUGAUUAUGAAAAUACUUUCUCUCCAGUUGUGAGAUUUAGCUCUAUUAGACUGAUUCUAGCUAUAGUUGCAAGUAUGAACUUGGAGUUACAUCAAAUGAAUGUAAAGACUGCAUUUCUCAAUGGGGAACUAGAUGAAGAAAUUUAUAUAGAACAACCAUUAGGUUUUAUCCAAAAUGGUCAAGAGCGCAAAGUUUGCAAGCUCAAAAGGUCUAUUUAUGGACUUAAACAAUCAUCUAGACAAUGGUACUUAAGAUUUCAUCGCGUUAUUACGUCUUACAACUUUAAUAUGAUCGAUGAAGACCAUUGUGUGUAUAUGAAGCGGUCUGAAACUGAAUUUGUGAUAUUGUCCCUUUAUGUGGAUGACAUACUAUUAGCUGGAAAUAGUCUUACUUUUGUAAAGGCUAUAAAGAGUUGGCUGUCCCUAAAUUUUGAAAUGAAGGACAUGGGAGAAGAAGAAUUCAUCCUUGGAGUUAAAAUUCAUAGAGAUCGCUCUAAAAAUUUAGUAACUUUAUCACAAGAAUCAUACAUUGAAAAAAUUCUUGAACCAUUCAGGAUGAGAGACUGUAAAUCAAUAAACACCCCUGUAGCUAAAGGUGAAAAUUUAAGCCUUGAAACAUGUCCCAAAACUCAAAGUGAAAAAGAUGCCAUGAAGAGGGUCCCAUAUUCAAGUGCAAUUGGGAGUUUAAUGUAUGCAAUGUUGUGUACACGUCCCGAUAUUUGUUAUGCAGUGGGUCUUGUUAGUCGUUAUCAAUCCAAUCCAGGACAAACACAUUGGAAAGUUGUUAAGAGAAUCUUGAGAUACUUAAGGGGCACUGUUGAUUACAAAUUAUGUUAUCAAGGAAGUGACUACAGUUGGUGGGCUACUCUGAUGUUGAUUGGGGUCGAGACUUGGAUGAAAGAAAGUCCACUUCUGGUUAUGUUUUUUUGCUUAACAAUGGUACCAUUUCAUGGAGUAGCAAGAAACAAACAUGUAUACCUUUAUCAACUAUGGAAGCAGAGUUCAUUGCAUGCUCUACAGCAGUACAAGAAACUGUAUGGCUAAAAACGUUCAUGGAACACUUAGGGAUCAUUGGCAGGCCAAUGGAUGCGGUGCAAAUUUUUUGUGAUAGCCAAGCAGCAAUGGCAUAUACUUAAUCAUAGUAAGACGAAGCACAUAGAUACAAAGUAUAAUUUUGUUAGAGACAUCAUAGCACGUAAGGAAAUCACUUUACAUUACAUUUCUACGCACAAGAUGGUAGCGGAUCCCUUAACAAAGCCAAUACCUAGAGAUGUCUUUGGUAAACAUGUGAAAUCUCUAGGCUUGUGUGGGAUGUAAAAUGAUAUAUUUCCUUAUUUGAACAUCUUGAUAAUAAUGUAUGGAUAUCUUUUUGAUGUUUUUUAUGGUUAUUUCAUACAUUAUUAUUGAUUAGCACGUUCACAAUAUUAGAGUAUGUCGUACAAGUUGAUAAGGUUGGCUUUCUCACAUGAGCAACCGCCUUGGGCGCUUAUGGAAAGCGAGCCAAGAUGAGACAUUUGUGUUUCUUAACGCUAAAAAAGGAUAGCUAAUAUAUGUGGCACCUUCGAUUAACAACAUAUUAUUUAAAGUCACCCUAGUAAAAGACUAGGAUGAGAUCCAAGAGAAAUGUCAAAAAGGAUCGAAAUUAUAGAUUCCCACUACCCAUAAUACUUGUAGCCAGAUGUGAGAUCUCCUCUAAAAGUACAAUAGAGUGGUAGAACUCAGGUCAAGUAAAUGAUUUACUUGGACCAAGAUUUGUAUAGUGUGAAAAAAAUGAAAAAAAUGAAAAUCGACAUACACUCUGAUGGAAUCAGAGGCGCACUGUAACAUGCAUUUCAUACUGCAUGUGCUUCAUUACUGCAAAUUAAAAGUUAAGUGAAUACACCCUACUUCACUUUUAUGUGAGACCUUGAAAAGUUUCUUUCUCACUAGUGCCCUUAUGACUUUGACAAUAUCAUGAGGUGAUGGGUUAGUGUAUGCUACUUUAGUAUGAAUCUAAAGGUUAUGAAAAUACGACCUGAAGGAGUAAUGCUAGGAAAGCAAUUAAUCCUGAUCUUAGUGAUAUGUGGGCAAAAGGAAGAUCAUGUCAAAUAUAUACACAUUAAGCUUGUGUCUGAGACCGGUCCAUUAUGAAACCUAUUUUAGUUAGCAUCAUAAGUGUGGACACAAGGCAUAUGAAAAUUGAAAAUGGAAAGAGGGUUAAAAGAAGCCAUAUGUGUAUACAGACAUGUCUGGGGAAUCUACGGCACUUUAUAUGACAUGAUAGUAUAUCAUAAAUGAUCAUAAAAGGGUGGUAGUCUCUUAUGCUGAUCUAGAAAAAAAAAUCUAGUGUAAGAGCUCCCAAACUUAGGGCCCGUUUGGCCAUGCGAUAUGGUAUCAUGAUAUGAAAUUAUGAGAUGAAAUUGAAGGUUUGUUUGGACAUGCGAUAUGAAAUUUUUGUGUUGUAUAUUUUCUCAUAAACAUAAAAAUCUCAUAAGUUGUAAAACUAUUAAAAUAGCCUCAAUUGUUUAUUCAAUCUUAUCAAAUAAACAAAAAAUUAUAAAAUCGCAUAAUAAAUUAUUACAAAGUUAUUUGUUCUCCACUUAAGUAAUUGUUUCAUCUAACUUUAAUUUAAUAAAAAAAUUGAACAUAAAUUGUAGUGUACUAGUCUUUAAUAUAAUCCUCCCACAUAGUAAAAACAAUUUCGUCACAUUGAACUUGCAUUUCUCGAUCAUGUGACNNNNNNNNNNNNNNNNNNNNNNNNNNNNNNNNNNNNNNNNNNNNNNNNNNNNNNNNNNNNNNNNNNNNNNNNNNNNNNNNNNNNNNNNNNNNNNNNNNNNNNNNNNNNNNNNNNNNNNNNNNNNNNNNNNNNNNNNNNNNNNNNNNNNNNNNNNNNNNNNNNNNNNNNNNNNNNNNNNNNNNNNNNNNNNNNNNNNNNNNNNNNNNNNNNNNNNNNNNNNNNNNNNNNNNNNNNNNNNNNNNNNNNNNNNNNNNNNNNNNNNNNNNNNNNNNNNNNNNNNNNNNNNNNNNNNNNNNNNNNNNNNNNNNCAUCAACAACAUAAUAUUUAUCUACCAAAAAAUAUUUUAUAAAGAAUUACUAAAAGCAUAUGUGACGUAAAUGAGACAACUUUGUGUAAAUAAAUAAUAUUUAUUCUAAGGAUGUAAUUUAAAGUUACCAUGUGGCGAAAAUGGAAAUUGUGAUGUUGGUUCAACAAGUGCAUUCUCAAGUACUUUACUAUCAUGUGCAAUACCUUCCCAACUAGCAGCAGCAAAGGUAAAUCGCAUAUCAAAAUCACAAGUACAUAAGACAUUUUGUGAUGUUCUUCCUUUGCGAUUACGAUAUGCUUGUUGCACCGCUUUAGGAACCUCCCCUUCUAUAUAUGUUCCAUCAAUCGCACCAACACAAUCCUAUCAAAUAAAAAAUACAUCAAUAUUAGUUUAGUGAAUAUAAAAUAAAUUGGAAGCAUUAUAGAAUGCACUUUCAUAAAAAUAAUGUUUGUAAGAGUAAUAAAAAUAGUGCUUCCAAGACAAUGCAAAGUCAUAAAAUAAAUAUUAUCUCUUUAAACAAAGUUGUAGAAAAUAUGUAACUAAAUACUAAUAACUUACACAUAAAAUAUAAAUGUUCACUUAUUAAGGCCAUAAAAUAAAUUUAUUAAUGUGAUUGAAAUUUUACCUUAAACCAAGGCCAAAAUCGAAUAUUAUGUCUAAUUUUGGAAUGUACGCCAGUCAUAUUUUUUGGUUGUAUGAAUGUUCGUGCCAUCUUGCUAAUUGCCUCGGCAACUAUUUUAACAUGCCGGUUAAUUGUUUCAAGUGAAUGUUGAAAAGUUUCACAAUCGUGAGGUGUUAGUUAAAGUGACUAUAUGUUGGUGAGAAUAAUAAAUUUUAUAUCGGUGAGAAUAAUAAAUUUUAAAAAGUAAUGAUGUGAUUAUAAAUUUUAUUUACAUAUGAAACAAAUGGUUAGUAGAUAUAAAUGUGGGCUGUUUUAACAAAAUAUAAACUCAUGGAACAAUUAUUGUAUUAAAAUAUCUCAAAUCAUGAUAUGGAAUCACCAUAUAAUUUCAUAUCAUGGUUUUUGGAGAAUAUGGUAUCACCUCUCAUGAUAUGGAAUCAUGAGAUGGAAUCAGCGUAAAAUCGCAUGUCCAAACGCUGAUUCCAUCUCACGAUACCAUAUCGUGAUAUGGUAUCGCAUGGUCAAACGCCUACUUAGUGUCUGAGCGGUCACGACAAUACACUCGGUAUGAAUGUCUAAAGGAAUUUAUUUUUCAAAUUAAAGCCCUAUGUGUUUCAUCCCAUCAUGUGUGAGUGGGAGAUGUUGGAAAUAGAUACACUCAUUGAUGGUUGACUAGUAACUUGCUUCAUUCAUGAAGUAAGUUACAACUCCACUAAAUAACUCCAUAUAGUAAAAGAAGAAGAGUUAUGUAUUCUUGAAUGGAGUGGGAGUUAUAGGGUAAGGGGGGAUGUAACUCUUGAAUGAAUAAGAGUGACAAGUCCUACCUUGUCCUAUAAAAGGGAGGGAACUUGGGGUCAUCCAAGAAACAACAACAAACAACACAAGAAAAGAGUUCCUUAGAUAAAGAGUGUAGUUGUUGUGAAAAACAAUACAAGACUCCAUAGUGAUCUUGUAAGAAACCGCUUAGGCAAUUGGUGGUGAUAGCACUUGAUCCUAUAACAAGAAGGUAUGUAUAAUUCCGCAUAAAUCUCCGAGUUUAAAUCCUUCAAAAUGGAUAGAGGUGAUGCCUAUGUCUAAAAUCACUCACUUAGCCUCAACUGGUUCUGACCACUGUCCCCUGCUUCUGGAAAGUGUUGACAGAAAUACCAAUACUAUCAAAUACUACAAAUUCCUACAUUUUUGGGUGGAUAAUCCAAAGUUUCUAGAUAUUGUGUAAGCUUGCUGGGAAAGACCAGUUGACGGUAAUCCUAUGAGAAUUUUUCAGCUAAAAUUGAAAAGAGUGCCAAUACUCUUAGCAACUAGUCUAGACAGGAAUAUGGAGAUAUUUUUAACAGUGUUAAGGAGUAUGAGGAGAAGGUUAAAAGUGUUGAAGCAGAUAUCAUCAAUGACAACAAUGAGUAAAAUAGAACCAAGCUCAAUAGAUUAAUGCUCAAUGCAUCAGAUACUUAAAAAUUGAGCAAUCCACUCUCAAACAGAGAUGCAAACUCCAAGUAUAUCCAUGCUAUUAUCAGAGGCAGGAGAAGUAAGUCGUUUAUCCACAAAAUCAGUGAUGAUCAUGGUAAUACUAUCAAGGGGGAUGAGAAUAUUGCAAGGGCUGCAUGUUGUCGUUUUGAGAAAAUCUUUACAGGGGAAGAUAACCUGAUCAAUGAGGAAGUCCUUAGAUGCAUUCCUAGCAUGAUCACUGAGUAUCAAAACCAAAAACUCCAGGCCAUGCCAACAAAAGAGUAACUGAAACAGGCUGUCUGGUCAAUGAGUGCUAAUUCUGUAGCUG
rnacentral:lncRNA from 1 species